rnacentral:misc_RNA from 1 species
GAAAUGCGAUAAGUAAUGUGAAUUGCAGAAUUCAGUGAAUCAUCGAAUCUUUGAACGCACAUUGCGCCCGCCAGUAUUCUGGCGGGCAUGCCUGUUCGAGCGUCAUUUCAACCAUCAAGCCCCCAGCUUGUGUUGGGGACCUGCGGCUGCCCGCAGGCCCUGAAAAACAGUGGCGGGCUCGCUGUCACACCGAGCGUAGUAGCAUACAUUCUCGCUCAGGGCGUGCUGCGGGUUCCGGCCGUUAAACGACCUUCAUAACCCAAGGUUGACCUCGGAUCAGGUAGGAAGACCCGCUGAACUUAAGC